CAACGAGCGCAACCCUUAUCCUUUGUUGCCAGCGAUUAGGUCGGGAACUCAAAGGAGACUGCCAGUGAUAAACUGGAGGAAGGUGGGGAUGACGUCAAGUCAUCAUGGCCCUUACGACCAGGGCUACACACGUGCUACAAUGGCGCAUACAAAGAGAAGCGACCUCGCGAGAGCAAGCGGACCUCAUAAAGUGCGUCGUAGUCCGGAUUGGAGUCUGCAACUCGACUCCAUGAAGUCGGAAUCGCUAGUAAUCGUGGAUCAGAAUGCCACGGUGAAUACGUUCCCGGGCCUUGUACACACCGCCCGUCACACCAUGGGAGUGGGUUGCAAAAGAAGUAGGUAGCUUAACCUUCGGGAGGGCGCUUACCACUUUGUGAUUCAUGACUGGGGUGAAGUCGUAACAAGGUAACCGUAGGGGAACCUGCGGUUGGA
rnacentral:rRNA from 1 species